AACUUCUCUAACUAUUAUCACUUCAAUCCCCCAAGCGAGAGACUGCGACUGAUACCGGCAGCGGAUCUGGCGGCAGAACUCCCGGCGAGGGGAGGCGGAGCGGCUUUACUGGCUCUGGAUGUGGGCUGCAACAGCGGGAUUGUCUCUCAUGGAGUGGGCUACACAGCUGAGACCUGGGCUUGCUCCAGAUUGAUGGGCCUCUGAUUUAAACCUCAUCUCAGCUCUUUUGCAAGUCUCGGACUCUCUCUGCCUGCUGAAGUCUAUCUGCUGUUGACCACUGGAGCAGGCACUGACAUUCUGUGAUGUAUCCUUUCAGGGUCAGCCUGCCCUGGCGUUCAGUGCACGCUGAGCUUUUUGAGAUUUUCUGUCCCCCUGCUAGAGCACCCUACCAUUCUCUCUUGGUUAGCUUCAGCAGCUUGGUUUUAGAGCAUGGCUCCCUCCACUACCAAUCCAACAACUACUACCCCACUUCCUUUUUAAAUCCAGUCCACGUGGAGCCAGUCAGCUUUGUUUCACUGUGAAAUUUUAAAUGAAUAUGUGCAAUUCCUGCCCUUCGUCCAGCUAAUAGUUCAAAGACAAACUUACUUUUACACAUUUGGGGUGAGUAAUACUGCAAAGGCAGUGAUUGAUGUGGUUAACAUUGAGUGAAUAUCUACAUUUUGCUGAAGUAAACAGCUUUGGGGUUUCUCUGUGAUCCAUUUUAAUGAGAUAGUGAAGUGUGAGCUAAUGUAAAUAGUAAUCAACAACAGGAACAGGAAAUUAAUUUGCACACUAGAAGAUUUUGGAGUUGACCCCUAAUUUCUGAUUCUGAAGAAUUGGAAUUGGAAUUACUUUAUGAUUGUCACUUGUAUCAAGGUAUGGUGAAAAGUUUUUGUUUACAUGCUAUCUUAACAUUGAGGUCAUUAAAAACAAAGUGUUACAGUUGCAGAGGACCUGCAAUGCAGGUAACCCAUGAUGAGUUAGACUGGGAAUCAGAGUUCAAAAACCAGGGUUUUGCAGGGACUCCUGACACAUUUAUAACAACUUGUACCUCCUCUCUUUGUUCUGUCCACUUUCACGUCUCUCAGAUAUGUACAGGUAUGCACUCCCAUUCAGCUCUGUGAUAUUUGCAUUAAUUUAUUCUCAUAUUUUCAUUCAAGCAGUGGCCACGCAAUUCACGACGCAAUAGCCACUGCUCUGCAUACCGUUCUUACACAUCUGCAGAAGAAGGAUGCUUAGGUGAGAAUGUUGUUACAUGGAAACAUAGAAUCAUAGAAAACCUACAGCACAAUACAUCGGCCCACGAUGCUGUGCCAAACAUGUACUUACUUUAGAAAUGACCUAGGGUUACUCAUAGCCCUCUAUUUUUCUAAGCUCCAUGCACCUAUCCAGGAGUCUCUUAAAAGACCCGAUCGUAUCCACCUCCACCACUGUCAUCGGCAGCCCAUUCCACGCACUCACCACCCUCUGUGUAAAAAUACUUGCCCCCGACAUCUCCUCUGUACCUACUUCCCAGCACCUUAAACCUGUGCCCUCUCAUGUUAGCCAUUUCAGCCCUGGGAAAAAGCCUCUGACUAUCCACACAAUCAAUGCCUCUUUAACUAAUGUGAGAAUGCUGUUCUUGGACUACAGUUCAGCAUUCAACACCAUAGUUCCAUCCAGGCUCAACAAGAAGCUCAGAGACCUUGGCCUUGACCCUUCCUUAUGCAACUGGAUCCUGGACUUCCUGUCACAUCGCCGGCAGAUGAUUCUACCACUCACCUACACACUAGGGGCAAUUUACAGCAGCCAAUUAACCCACUGACCUCCCUCCUCAUUUCCUGGGAGGGAAUGAGAGUACCCGGUGGAAACAUGGAGAAGGUGCGAGCUCCACGGAGAGGAUUGAACUCAGGUCACGUGAGCUGCGAGCCAGUCUCUCUGCAGGUUAUGCCACUGUGCUGCCUUAGUGGAGGUGGAAACGCAGAGGCCUGGGAGAGUGAAAAGCAGAAGCUGGGCCUUCAGCAGCUUAAAUUAUGUCCAGCUAAUUGCCUGUGUGUAAAACCCAAGAGAUGCAAGGACCUUGGGAACUGAGGAGUGUAGAGAUUUAAGGAGAUUAUAGGACUGGAAGAGAUCAUGGAGACCAGGAAAUGCAAGGGUGUAGAAGAAUUUAAAAACAUAAAUGGGAAUUUUAAAACGGAGGUAUUACUUAACUGGGAGUUAUCUGACUCUGUAAUGGUGAGUGAAUGGGAUGCAAAUUAGUGCAUGGGCGUAGUUUCGGAUGUGCAAUGGAAUAGUGGGGGAGGUGGGAGAUAUCUAGAGUACUCAAGUGCAGAUAUAGGGGUGAAUUUUGCAAGUGGGUGUCAAUAGUACUAUAUAGAGCCAGAUCUGUUUUUUUGCUGUUCCUUUCCACACCUUGUGGCAUCAGCCGGCAACCUUGCCAUUUCUGUCUGUUUUUUACAAGAUGAACUGCACUUUCUCAAUCAGGCUACAGCAACUGCACCCCCCCCCCCCCCGAGCCCACUAUCUCUGUCCCAAGGAGGAUAAGGGCAGAGACACGAGGAGACACUUCUCCCUGUAGUUCCCCUUCAAUCCACACACCAUUCUGAAUUGCAAAUCUGUUGUCAUUCCUUCAUUGUCACUGGGCCUAAGAUCCUGUUGUCAACACCACUGAGGGAGCACCUUCACCAGGAGGCUCAAGGGAGCGCACCACCACCUCCUGAAGGGUAAUUAGGGAUGAGCAAUAAGUACUGGUCUUGCCGUGUCUUGAAAAAUGUACAAACAGAUAAAUAAAAAGAAUAAAGCAAUAAAAAUGUAACACACCAUGUAAAGCACAUUUGGUAUAGACCUGAGUCCAGUUUAACAUUGAAUGCAUUGUGAUUAGCUUGUCAAAUUCUUGUCUGGUUGUGUUUAAACGUGUUCCUCUUUUCACUUCACGAGACAAUAGCUUAUUCACAACACCUUGCCUUAAGGGGCUUUUGCUAUAGAUCGCUGCUGUUUAUUGUAUCCACGCCCUGUGAGGAAACGUGUUUUAAGCAGUUAUUGGCUACCCUAACUAGUUUGGGAACAUUCCUCAGAAACAGUGAUUCAGUGUAUUUAUAUCAAGAGUCGAGUUACUACGAGAACAAGUUGGAAAUGAUUCUGAAUCUACUCCCAACCCACUGAAUACUUUCAAUGUUUUAUGAUUUGCUUUACAAAAUCUGACCAUCCUGAGU